rnacentral:rRNA from 1 species
UACGUAGGGUGCAAGCGUUGUCCGGAAUUACUGGGCGUAAAGGGCGCGUAGGCGGACAGUUAAGUCAGAGGUGAAAGCCCAGGGCUCAACCCUGGAAUUGCCUUUGAUACUGGCUGUCUUGAGUGCGGGAGAGGUGUGUGGAACUCCGAGUGUAGAGGUGAAAUUCGUAGAUAUUCGGAAGAACACCAGUGGCGAAGGCGACACACUGGCCCGUAACUGACGCUGAGGCGCGAAAGCGUGGGGAGCAAACAGG